rnacentral:tRNA from 1 species
AAUAAAGUGCCUGAAAUAGGAUUAUUCUGAUAGGAUAAAAUAUAUAGUUAAAUACUAUCUUUAUUA